rnacentral:misc_RNA from 1 species
GGAAGGAUCAUUAACGAAAGAUAAGGAGUGCUCUUUUUAGAGGCUUCGCCCCAUCUUUCUCCACACCUGUGCAUCUUUCGGGGCGUCGGGCAUCUCCAUGUGCCCUUCGCCCCUGAUCACUUUUAGCACCAAAAGUAACGAGGAUGUAGUUGAUACAAUCGAAAAAUAACAAAACUUUCAACAACGGAUCUCUUGGCUCUCGCAUCGAUGAAGAACGCAGCGAAAUGUGAUACGUAGUGUGAAUUGCAGAAUUCAGUGAAUCAUCGAAUCUUUGAACGCAUCUUGCGCUCCUGGGUACUCCUGGGAGCAUGCCUGUUUGAGUGUCGUGUAACCUCUCAAUCUGCCCCUUUCUUGCUUGAUUGCUCGAGAGGCCUGGCUUCAGAUUGGAUCAUGGCUGAAUGAUGCCGUUGUCUGCAAAGGCGACAGCUCGGCCGAAAUGCAGACAAGUGACGACCGCUCGUGUCGAUCGGCUUGAACUCGGCGUUGUAAUUUCUCCCUCGUUGAGCUACGAUCUUCACGUCUUUGAAGGCGCACUUUGAAAUACACUCUCUUUUUGAGCAAAUCUGGCCUCAAAUCAGGCAGGACUACCCGCUGAACUUAAGCAUAUCAAUAAGCGGAGGAAAAGAAACUAACAAGGAUUCCCCUAGUAGCGGCGAGCGAAGCGGGAAGAGCCCAAUUUUGUAAUCUGGCUGUCUUUGGCAGUCCGAGUUGUAAUCUCGAGAAACGUUACCCGUGUCGGACCAUGCACAAGCUAUUGGAAUAUCGUAUCAUAGAGGGUGAGAAUCCCGUAUACGGCAUGGACGCCCGAUGCAUAGUGGGGCGCUUUCGAAGAGUCGAGUUGUUUGGGAAUGCAGCUCAAAUCCGGUGGUAAAUUCCAUCCAAGGCUAAAUAUUGGCGAGAGACCGAUAGCGAACAAGUACCGUGAGGGAAAGAUGAAAAGCACUUUGGAAAGAGGGUGAUUAACAGACGUGAAAUUGUUGAAAGGGAAACGAUUGAAGUCAGACGUGCGCGGUGGGAUUCAGCCUUCGGGUGUACUUCCCGCCUUUGCAGGCCAGCAUCGGUUGUGUCGGACACAAAAGUGCUUGGGAAACGUAGCUUGAGAUUCGUCUCGAGUGUUAUAGUCCUUUGCCGGAUGUCGUCCAGUGCGACCGUGGAACGCGGCAGUCCUUACUCGUCUCGUGCGAGCAACUGCCAAGGAUGCUGGUGGAAUGGCUUUAAACGACCCGUCUUGAAACACGGACCAAGGAGUCUAACAUGCACGCGAGUGUUUGAGUGUCAAACUCGGACGCGUAAUGAAAGUGAAUUCUCAGGUGGGAUCCGCAAGGUGCACCAUCGACCGAUCUGGAUUUUCUAAUGAUGGAUUUGAGUAAGAGCGCGUAUGUUGGGACCCGAAAGAUGGUGAACUAUGCCUGAAUAGGGUGAAGCCAGAGGAAACUCUGGUGGAGGCUCGUAGCGGUUCUGACGUGCAAAUCGAUCGUCAAAUUUGGGUAUAGGGGCGAAAGACUAAUCGAACCAUUAAACGAUAACGGAAUGCUGCUAGGUGGUUAAGAGAGGACUUCGCGUCCUCUAGUGCUGACGCCUCACCAGAGGGGUGGGCAUGUGCAACAUCAUCAAAUUGCGGUGACUUCUCCUCAAAUCUAGGGCUCCAAGUACUACCAAGCCGUCUUGAGAAAUCGAACGGUGGCCGGGCUAAUAGUUUCGGGUAAGGUCAUAAUCGUGCUUGGCAACCGUAGGGGAUGACCUGCAGCCAAGUCCUGUCGCUCGAUCGAGCUAUGGAUGCAGUUCACAGACUAGAUGGUGAUGGGCUCAAUCGAGCUUAAGAUAUAGUCGAUCUCACCGCGCAAGCGGGCCGACUGUCAGAUCGCCUAAGGGUCUGUCGUCGGGACUCAAUCAGAGUCGAGGAUACAUGCUAGUAGCUGGUUCCAGC